AGAUAUCUCAAUUGCAACCACAGUUGCAGAAGGGACUAUCAAGAAUGCAUACAAGGAUCUCUAUCCCCAUGCUUCCAAAAUAAUACCUGAAUGGUAUCUCAAGGAUAAGGACAUUAAGAGCCUGUGCAGUCCCAAGGCUUAGAAGCUCUAUUUAUUUUAGCGCAGUAUACGAAUCUGCUGGCCUAAAUCUUCAAGAAGUGCCCAGAAUAGAGAAAACAUCAGAUAUUGAAGUUAUAAGGUCACUGUAGUAACAUGUACCCUGAGUAAUCAGAUUUUUUUCAUUUACACUUUUGUUCCCUCCCCACGAUACAGAUAGGCUAAUUAAUUUCAUAAUUUAUUUGAUAUAUUAUGCGGCGUUUGUUUCUCCAA